rnacentral:rRNA from 1 species
AGAGUUUGAUCCUGGCUCAGGAUGAACGCUGGCGGCGUGCCUAACACAUGCAAGUCGAGCGAUUCUCUUCGGAGAAGAGCGGCGGACGGGUGAGUAACGCGUGGGUAACCUGCCCUGUACACACGGAUAACAUACCGAAAGGUAUGCUAAUACGGGAUAAUAUGAGAGAGUCACAUGGCUUUCUUAUCAAAGCUCCGGCG